rnacentral:rRNA from 1 species
AUUGAACGCUGGCGGCAGGCCUAACACAUGCAAGUCGAACGAGUGGCGGACGGGUGAGUAAUGUCUGGGAAACUGCCUGAUGGAGGGGGAUAACUACUGGAAACGGUAGCUAAUCCCGCAUACCAUCAGAUGUACCCAGAUGGGAUUAGCUUGUUGGUGUGGUAACGGCUCACCAAGGCGACGAUCCCUAGCUGGUCUGAGAGGAUGACCAGCCACACGGGAACUGAGACACGGUCCAGAUUCCUACGGGAGGCAGCAGUGGGGAAUAUUGAACAAUGGGCGCAAGCCUGAUGCAGCCAUGCCGCGGGGAUGAAGAAGGUCUUCGGGUGGUAAAGUACUGUGAGCGGGUAGGCGUUACCCGCAGAAGAAGCACCGGCUAACUCCGUGCCAGCAGCCGCGGUAAUAC